rnacentral:rRNA from 1 species
UACGUAGGGUGCGAGCGUUGUCCGGAAUUAUUGGGCGUAAAGAGCUCGUAGGCGGUCUGUCGCGUCGGAUGUGAAAACUCGAGGCUCAACCUCGAGACGUCGGUUGAAACCAUCUGGCUAGAGUCCGGAAGAGGAGUGUGGAAUUCCCGUGUAGCGGUGAAAUGCGUAGAGAUCGGGAGAACAUCAGUGGCGAAGGCGGCCAUCUGGGACAACACUGACGCUGAGGCACGAAAGCGUGGGGAGCAAACAGG